rnacentral:rRNA from 1 species
AGAGUUUGAUCAUGGCUCAGAUUGAACGCUGGCGGCAUGCCUUACACAUGCAAGUCGAACGGCAGCACGGGAGCAAUCCUGGUGGCGAGUGGCGAACGGGUGAGUAAUACAUCGGAACGUGUCCUGUAGUGGGGGAUAGCCCGGCGAAAGCCGGAUUAAUACCGCAUACGCUCUACGGAGGAAAGGGGGGGAUCGCAAGACCUCUCGCUACAGGGGCGGCCGAUGGCAGAUUAGCUAGUUGGUGGGGUAAAGGCCUACCAAGGCGACGAUCUGUAGCUGGUCUGAGAGGACGACCAGCCACACUGGGACUGAGACACGGCCCAGACUCCUACGGGAGGCAGCAGUGGGGAAUUUUGGACAAUGGGCGCAAGCCUGAUCCAGCAAUGCCGCGUGUGUGAAGAAGGCCUUCGGGUUGUAAAGCACUUUUGUCCGGAAAGAAAUCCUUUGGGCUAAUACCCUGAGGGGAUGACGGUACCGGAAGAAUAAGCACCGGCUAACUACGUGCCAGCAGCCGCGGUAAUACGUAGGGUGCAAGCGUUAAUCGGAAUUACUGGGCGUAAAGCGUGCGCAGGCGGUUCGCUAAGACAGAUGUGAAAUCCCCGGGCUUAACCUGGGAACUGCAUUUGUGACUGGCGGGCUAGAGUAUGGCAGAGGGGGGUAGAAUUCCACGUAGCAGUGAAAUGCGUAGAGAUGUGGAGGAAUACCGAUGGCGAAGGCAGCCCCCUGGGCCAAUACUGACGCUCAUGCACGAAAGCGUGGGGAGCAAACAGGAUUAGAUACCCCCGUAGUCC